rnacentral:rRNA from 1 species
UGGGGAAUAUUGGACAAUGGGCGCAAGCCUGAUCCAGCCAUGCCGCGUGAGUGAUGAAGGCCCUAGGGUUGUAAAGCUCUUUCACCGGUGAAGAUAAUGACGGUAACCGGAGAAGAAGCCCCGGCUAACUUCGUGCCAGCAGCCGCGGUAAUACGAAGGGGGCUAGCGUUGUUCGGAUUUACUGGGCGUAAAGCGCACGUAGGCGGACUUUUAAGUCAGGGGUGAAAUCCCGGGGCUCAACCCCGGAACUGCCUUUGAUACUGGAAGUCUUGAGUAUGGUAGAGGUGGGUGGAAUUCCGAGUUUAGAGGUGAAAUUCGUAGAUAUUCGGAGGAACACCAGUGGAGAAGGCGGCUCACUGGACCAUUACUGACGCUGAGGUGCGAAAGCGUGGGGAGCAAACAGG